CCGGCGUGGGCGCCCUGGUACUGGGAUGGGGCGUGCUGCCGCCGCGCCAGCGCUUGCAUGGCAGUUCGCCGCUGCCGCUCCAGG
rnacentral:tRNA from 1 species